rnacentral:lncRNA from 1 species
GAAAUAUUUCUUCAUCUCAUGUUACAUAAUCAUCCUUGACGCAUUGUUUGUUCCAGCUCAGUGCUGUUUUCAUCAGAUAGGAACCACAAAUCUAAUGGAAUAUGGGGCGUGUCCUGCUGAAAGUCCACAGCAACCAACAAAGAGUAGGAAGCCUGCACUGGAAGGAAACGUCUUGUAUGUCCGGUCUUGUCCCUCCCAUCUUCGUGAAGGAGGUAUGUACGCUGUCCACAGGACAACACUUGUUCUGGUCAAAAAAUACUUUUCUCCUCUGGGGAGAGUCAUGUGCAGCCUUGAAGCAGAGUCAGAAAAUUGAGUCAGCUGUCUUAUAUUAGAAAAAAACUAGAGGGGAGGCCUGAAAAGUGGGCCAGUUUUAUUUGUUCAGCUGACAGUGUGAUAGGAGUUGCUGUUCAAAAGGAGCCAUUGGAUGAUAAAAAAAGGUACUAAACAUUCCUUGCCAAAUCCUCCUAUCAGGCUGCCAUGAGUUCACAUCAGGUCACUA